AUUGAACGCUGGCGGCAGGCCUAACACAUGCAAGUCGAACGGUAACAGGAAGAAGCUUGCUUCUUUGCUGACGAGUGGCGGACGGGUGAGUAAUGUCUGGGAAACUGCCUGAUGGAGGGGGAUAACUACUGGAAACGGUAGCUAAUACCGCAUAACGUCGCAAGACCAAAAAGGGGGACCUUCGGGCCUCUUGCCAUCGGAUGUGCCCAGAUGGGAUUAGCUAGUAGGUGGGGUAACGGCUCACCUAGGCGACGAUCCCUAGCUGGUCUGAGAGGAUGACCAGCCACACUGGAACUGAGACACGGUCCAGACUCCCACGGGAGGCAGCAGUGGGGAAUAUUGCACAAUGGGCGCAAGCCUGAUGCAGCCAUGCCGCGUGUAUGAAGAAGGCCUUCGGGUUGUAAAGUACUUUCAGCGGGGAGGAAGGGAGUAAAGUUAAUACCUUUGCUUAUUGACGUUACCCGCAGAAGAAGCACCGGCUAACUCCGUG
rnacentral:rRNA from 1 species